rnacentral:rRNA from 1 species
UUGAUCAUGGCUCAGAUUGAACGCUGGCGGUAUGCUUAACACAUGCAAGUCGAACGGUAGCAGGCCUUCGGGCGCUGACGAGUGGCGGACGGGUGAGUAACGCGUAGGAAUCUGCCUCAUAGUGGGGGACAACGUGGGGAAACUCACGCUAAUACCGCAUACGCCCUACGGGGGAAAGCGGGGGAUCUUCGGACCUCGCGCUAUGAGAUGAGCCUGCGUUAGAUUAGCUAGUUGGUAGGGUAAAGGCCUACCAAGGCGACGAUCUAUAGCUGGUCUGAGAGGACGAUCAGCCACACUGGGACUGAGACACGGCCCAGACUCCUACGGGAGGCAGCAGUGGGGAAUAUUGGACAAUGGGCGCAAGCCUGAUCCAGCAAUACCGCGUGUGUGAAGAAGGCCUUAGGGUUGUAAAGCACUUUCAAUUGGGAGGAAAACCUGUCGGUCAAUACCCGGCAGCUUGACAUUACCUUUAGAAGAAGCACGGCUAACUCCGUGCCAGCAGCCGC